rnacentral:rRNA from 1 species
CAAUAGCGUAUAUUAAAGUUGUUGCGGUUAAAAAGCUCGUAGUUGGAUUUCUGUUGAGGACGGCCGGUCCGCACUAUGUGCGUGUAUCUGGUUCGGCCUCGGCAUCCUCUCGAAAGCCGUUUCUGCGCUUGUUUGCGUGGUUCGGACUUCGGGACUUUUACUUUGAGGAAAUUAGAGUGUUCACGGCAGGCAAGCGCCUUGAAUAUAUUAGCAUGGAAUAAUAAUAUAGGAUCUUGGUCCUAUUUUGUUGGUUUCUAGGGCUAAGAUAAUGAUUAAUAGGGACAAUUGGGGGCAUUCGUAUUAACGCGUCAGAGGUGGAAUUCUUGGAUUGCGUUACGACGAACUACUGCGAAAGCAUUUGCCAAGGAUGUUUUCAUUGA